GAUGAACGCUGGCGGCGUGCCUAAUACAUGCAAGUCGAACGCGAGAGGAGGGAGCUUGCUCCCUCUGAUCGAGUGGCGGACGGGUGAGUAACACGUAGGCAACCUGCCCAUCAGCCGGGGAUAACUGCGGGAAACCGUGGCUAAUACCGGAUAAUCCUCCCCACCGCGGGGCGGGGAGUUGAAAGACGGUUUCGGCUGUCGCUGAUGGAUGGGCCUGCGGCGCAUUAGCUGGUUGGCGGGGUAACGGCCCACCAAGGCAACGAUGCGUAGCCGACCUGGGAGGGUGAUCGGCCACACUGGGACUGAGACACGGCCCAGACUCCUACGGGAGGCAGCAGUAGGGAAUCUUCCGCAAUGGACGCAAGUCUGACGGAGCAACGCCGCGUGAGUGAAGAAGGGUUUCGGCUCGUAAAACUCUGUUGUUAAGGAAGAACGCCAGGUAGAGUAACUGCUACCUGUGUGACGGUACUUAACCAGAAAGCCACGGCUAACUACGUGCCAGCCGCCGCGGUAA
rnacentral:rRNA from 1 species